CGUAACAAAAGCUCAGAAAUGGAAGUUCUGGUUGUUGAACAUAACUGAUGACGACGACGCCCCCCUGAGCCAGGCUGACUUUAUUCAGACCAAAACAUCUGGACUGUUGGGCCUGUGAAGCACGGUGGUGGAGGUGUGAUGGUUUGGGCUGCUGGAUCAGAAAGUCCACUGAGUUAUAAUCAUAUAAAUGAAAUAUUUCCCGGUGUGAGUCAACCUUCUUCUGUUUGACUUUGGCCUCACAUCGGCGCCGCGUCUCUCCGCCCCUGAGGCAGAAACAAAAGCCGCUUGUGCAGGCCGGAUCAGAGCCGCCGCUCACCGGGGGACGGCGCCCAGGAGACUCCGCCCACAUCCGGUCAGACGGUCCACCAGCAGAACGGCGGCGCCGUUCGCCACAGAACCGCUACGUUUAAACAUCAGGGCAGUGAAACAUUCCCCACGUUUCCAGAACAUUCACCAGGGCAGCAGAACUGAAGUUUCUGACCCGGUUCUGGUUGUAAAAAAGCAUCAGAACCGGCAGAUCCAGAGAAAGAUGUUCAGUUUCUCAUCAUUUUAUUAUUUAUUAGACUUCCUGAGUUUGUCUCCAGCUCCUCCUGAACUGGGCAGAUAAAAUAACAGAAGAAGAAGGAUUUACCUUCAUCCAUCAACUCUGAGCAGCUUCCCGCAGCAUGAUGCUGCCACCACCGUGUUUCACUACAGGGAUGAUGUCACUUUUUAUUUUUGUGUUUUAUGAUUGGAGGAUGGCUGCUAAUAUGUGCUAUAGAAAUAACAUGGAUUGAUUGAUUGAUUGAUUGAUUUGUUGAUUGAUUGAUUUGUUGAUUGAUUGGUUUGUUGAUUGAUUGAUUGAUUCUUCUACAUGUUCUGCCACUUAAAAUCUAAUGAAAUGGAAAUAAAGUUUGUCCAUCAUAAUUCUUCCUUCUGUGUUUUUCUGUCAUGAAUCAGGUUUGAGUGAUGUGUACUGGUGUGAACUUUGACCUGAACAGUUUAAUGUCUCCUCUCCUGAUUGGCCCCUGCAGCAGCAGCUCUCAGUUUCUCCGCUGAGCCGGAGGAUCCAGGCUGAACCGUAACUCGGCCGUCGGACUCAUUCCAGCCUGAAUCUCCAUCAGGUUUUGAAUUAUUGGUUUUGAAUGUUCGUGUGUCGCAUCGAUCUGUUGUCUCCUCUCUCUAACGUUCCUCUCCCUGCUGGGAUGAAUUUUCCUCCACAUCAGCAAGAAAAACAUUAUCAGAGAAAAGAAAUGGUGAGACAAUUAUCUGAUGAAGUCAUCCGUUUCCUCCAGAUUCUGCAGCGUCCGACGAGUAAAACGUUUGGCAGAUCCGACUCGUCCUCCAUCGACUGCGCUCAUCAGAAGAGCUGCUUAUUGUUUAUUUACACAGAGCAUCGCUUUCAUAAUCUGAUCAUAAUCUGAUCAUAAUCUGAUCUAAUCACAGCGACCGACACCUGAGAGGAAGAAGCAAACAUAUCUGAGUUCAUAAAAAAGAUUCAUUUUGAUAAAAAAUGCUGAACUUUUUGUUUUUAUUGAUCGCACCAGAAUAAAAGCCACAGUUUGAAGAAAAGAAGGAAAAUGACAGAUUUUCUCUUUUGAGUUUUUUUUUAAAGAAAUGUUUUACUAUAAGGAUUUGACUUUUCAUUUUCUCCUUCACUUUAUUCUUGACAUGGAUGUGAAAUCAUUUUUUUAUGUUCCUUUGAGUCAAAACGAGGGCUGGAAGAAAUAUCACAACACAACCGUUUCAGUCGAUUUUCAUGAUAAUUGAUUCGUUUUUAGUUUCAAAUGUCUGAAAUAUUAGGAAUAUUUGGUUUUUCCUGCUUUAUCCAAAGUUUCAUUCCAUUUCGUUUUUGUUUUUAAGCAGUUAUGAGACACGAUGGGAAAACUUGAAACUGCUGCUGCGCCAGUAACUCAACACAUUGUUGCUAGGCAACCAAUGAGUGAGAGAGUUGAUGCAACCAACCUAGCUCAGCUGCUAAUGAGCGAUGGAGCAGCUAAAGCUUUUCCUCUGCCUACAUCUCCCAGAAUGCUGUGCGGUUCUGAGUCAGUGGAUAUUCUGUAUAUUGAAUAUUGGGUUUUCUAUCAGAUGUAAUAUUUAUUGAUAUUGAUCACAUGUUUAACAUGAUUGUUAUUAUUAAUGGUUUAUUCUCAGUCAAAACAGAAAACUUGGUUUGUUUAGUUUUGUUUAUGUGGCGGCUAAAUGUGACUGGGCGCUAAUGCUAGCUUAAAAAUGAGAAACACAUUUUUCCAUUUCAAUCGAAUCGUUUGCUAAAAGUCUGACUUCCUGCCA